CAGCAGCCGCGGUAAUGCGUAGGUCCCGAGCGUUGUCCGGAUUUAUUGGGCGUAAAGCGAGCGCAGGCGGUUAGAUAAGUCUGAAGUUAAGGGCUGUGGCUUAACCAUAGUACGCUUUGGAAACUGUUUAACUUGAGUGCAAGAGGGGAGAGUGGAAUUCCAUGUGUAGCGGUGAAAUGCGUAGAUAUAUGGAGGAACACCGGUGGCGAAAGCGGCUCUCUGGCUUGUAACUGACGCUGAGGCUCGAAAGCGUGGGGAGCAAACAGGAUUAGAUACCCCAGUAGUCCCUGUCUCUUAUACA
rnacentral:rRNA from 1 species